CAGGGGGCGGGGCCGAAACGGCCGAGGGGGCGGGCGUUUGAAAUCAGGGCUUCCGAGCAGAGCUGGAACAUCACACUAAGCUUCGAGAGCCAAUUGCUUAAUGUCUGCAACGUCUCUCCCUUCCCCGACCCCGCUCCCAGACUCCUUCAUUCCGGCGCUGCGCGGACGGCAGACCCGGGAUAGAUCCAUCCAGCCUAGGAAAGUGAGCUGCGGAAAAAACUAGUGUUGUCAUUUAAUUGGAUAUGAAGAAAGAGCAAAAUAUGUACGGGGGCAGCCACGAUCUUUAUAAAGAACGUAAGUUCCAGGAAAGCAGGAACCUUGUCUGUCUUGUGCACCGGUUGUUUCCUCUGCAGAUAGAGCUGUGCGCGGCACAUAAUAGGUGCUGAAUUGUGUUGCAGACACUGCCCUCAGUUACAUACUCAACUACAUUGGUCUCACCCACCCAAGUCUGGCUGAUCCAACAGAACUCCUGGAGACAGGGAGAAACAUAAGAGAUUGCGGACUCACUGACCCUCUGGGCCUCCACAAAGCUGCUACACUUAGUGAGUCCCCUGGUGUAUCAGCAGUCUAAAAAGAUUAUUAUUUUCUUU